CACGUAUUUAGCCGGAGCUUCUUAGUCAGGUACCGUCACUUUCUUCCCUGCUGAUAGGGCUUUACAUACCGAAAUACUUCUUCACCCACGCGGCGUUGCUGCAUCGGGGUUCCCCCCAUUGUGCAAUAUUCCCCACUGCUGCCUCCCGUAGGAGUCUGGGCCGUGUCUCAGUCCCAAUGUGGCCGUCCACUCUCUCAAGCCGGCUACUGAUCGCUGCCUUGGUGGGCCGUUACCCCGCAACUAGCUAAUCAGACGCGGGCCCAUCCUGUACCACCGGAGUUUUCCCCGCAGCGCCAUGCGGCACCGCGGCUUAUGCGGUAUUAGCAGCCGUUUCCAGCUGUUGUCCCCCUGUACAGGGCAGGUUACCCACGCGUACUCACCCGUCCGCCACUAGGCUGUAUGCUGCUUCCGCCCGAAAGCUUCCGCUGGCACUACCGCCCGUUCGACUUGCUAGUGUUGGUUAGGCACCGCCCGCCGAGUCCGUUCACUCCUGACGCCGAGGAUACAAACUCCU
rnacentral:rRNA from 1 species